CUUAUGUACGAUGGUAGUCCCUUAAGAUUAGCACCAUAUGGCCUAGGUGUGUAGUGGGCUAUACCAUCUAGGUGUGUGUAAGUACACCCUAUGGUGUUCGCACAACAAUGAAAUCGCCUAAUGACACAGUUCUCAGAACAUAUUCCCAUCGUUAAGCCAUGCGUGACUGUAUUCAGAGUUGUAUUAGCAACUCUCUCUGUCCCUCUCGCCAGUUUGCCACCCACCCUACCCCAGGCCAGUCAUACUGGAUUUGGGGUGGCUGACCCCUUAAUCACACAAAGAUCUGGGAGAGGCUUUGCCAUCGCCAGAUGCAAGAGCCUGUGUUCCCCUUCAAGGCGCCUUCCUCCCCCCUCCUCCUCCCUAGAGGACGGGAGUGGGGUGGGGGACGCCUUCCAAGUUUUCCUCAAUGAGUUUUUAUUACAUUUAUAACCAGAAAAAAUAUUAAAUAAUGUUCUUUGUCAGUGCUCUAGGUCAGUGCUUCUCAAACGUGAGCGUGCUGCGCCUGCCUGUCACCUGGGGAGCUUGUUAAAAUGCGGGUUGUGAUUCGGUAGGUCUGGGGUGGGACAGGAUUCUGCACUUCCACACGCUCCCGGGUGAUGCGAUGCUACUGGCCCAUACCAAGCUUCGAAGAGCAAAGUGAUGGGGGACAAGUGGAGACGGGGUGCACCCUGUGACCUGCCUCGUUGCUCUUCACCGCCCUCACAACCCCAUGUUUCAUAGGUCUUCACAUUUCGCUGAACAUUUAGUGUAACGGUGAUGAAGUUGGAAGAAGGCGGCAUCUACGUAGGCAUCUGGACUAACCACGGCACUUUGGAGGCUGGUUCUUUAGAGAACACAUUCCAAGCUCCAUCUACAAAUAAAAAGUCUGUAUUACGUCUUGUUGGAAAGAAGAGCAGGAAGGCACUGAAGCUACCUCCGUGCACUAUUUGUUUCCUUAUUCAAAACUGCAGAAUUGAGCAGUGCUGGGGUGGAAAGAACACUGACAGGCCUCCAGUCCCACCUGCUCGUGUGAGGCGCUCUGUGGAGCUCCGGAGCUGCGGGGAGAGAGGACUCCCAAGUCCGAGGGGGCCAGGGCUUUUGUGACGUGUCCUGCAGUCUCCCGGAGAGAUGGCUGUGCUUAUCUGGCCUCCAAACAAACCCUUCCAGGGACCGGGGACAACUCCCAGGCAGUGCUUCGUGACUGGGUAGGUGUGAUCGCUCAGGAAUUCUCUCGGAGGACUGGAAAUCUGACUCCCUGGGGCCUUCACCCACUGACCCAAGGUCUAGAGUAGGUGUUUUUGAAGUUCCCUGAUGACAAGUAUCGCCUGGGAGGCUGUUGAAAUUCAACCCAACGCCAACCCAUGUGAAACAGAUCCCCAACCCUUCCUGGAGAUUUGCAUUCAACGGGGCUGAGACGGGCUUGGAAAAGUUGUUUUAAAUAGCCAUGCUUACUCCCACCGGGCAUAGGAAAUCAGGGAGGAGGCAUUUGGAUACAAAGAGUGAUUCCUUUGACUCAAGAGAAAAACCCAUCACUGAAAGUGGCCGGAUAGGCUGGCUUUGAUAUUUGCCAUAUGAGCUGCUAUAAUCUGUGGCCACUCCAGCUUUCUCAUUCUCCUUCCAACACAUCAAGCUUUGUCACACCUCAGAGCCGGCGCACUUACUGCUUCAUCAGACUGGGAUGCUUUCUUCAAGAGCUGUCACCCCACGAGAAUGGGGCCAUCGUCUGCCGGGUGCUGCUGCCCCUCACAGAGGAGAUGCUCAGGAAAAGCUUAUUGAAUGGAUGAGUGGUUUUGUUUUUUGAUUGGUUUUUGCAGACAAGGGGCAUGGGAGACAGAAUUUGUUCCUUUAGGUUUGAAAUAUGUUUCAGCUUUGUCUUCUUCACUACAGGCUCGUCGGUUUGCACAGGAUUCUCAUAUUUAAGUGCAGAUCCCUGCAAGUGCACAAUGGGGGUAAUAAAGGCACCCAUCUCCUGGAGUUUUUAAGGGCACUAAAUGAGAAAUAUGCACAAGGUGCUUCUCACCGUGCCAGGCAGCUGUUUCCGGGAUGCUGUGCGAACUUGAUCUCAGAACCAGCAGCAGAAACACUGGUCUCGUCCGUCCCCUAAGAAAUGAGAAGACUUCCUUCAGGAGUUUGAACUGCUUCUAAGCUUUAACAAUCCUUAUUCUCCUCAAGGCAAUGACCCUCUGGCUGAAAAGGACAAAUUUGAUGUACAAGUGGGAAAAAAGAAAAGCACAUCAAAAUGCUUCAAAACGUUAUCUUGACAUAUUAACUUUCAUAUUAAUUCAAUAACAAGCAACAGUAAAAUAAAUCUUUUAUACAGCUGUUUUGGGAUGCCAAAAAGGCCUCAUAAAUAGGUGGCAUUAUGUAGUACGGUGACCAGAACAAGGAAGGCCAUCUGCCAGUUUUCCAUUGUUCUGUGGCCGGGUUUUGGUUUCACAUUGCACUCGGGUUAUUUAUAAGCUUGAGCUUGUUCAGGUGCAGACGAAGAACAGAGGGGUACUAUAUUGGUCUGUUUGGGCUCCAAUAACAAAAAUACCACUGACUGAGUGGCUUAAAGAACAAAUAUUUUAUUUCCCAGAGCUCUAGAAGCUGGGAAGUCCAAGAUCAAGAGCCGGCAGGUUCGGUGUCUGGUGACUGCCAGCUUCCGGCCUCACAGCCUGCCAUCUUCUUGCUGCGUCCUCACCUGGUGGAAGGCGCAAGGGAGCUCGCUGGGGUCUCUUUUACGAGGGCACUAAUCCCGUUCAUGAGGGCUUCACUCUUAUCUUAGUCAUCUUAUCUUAUCUUAUCACUUAGUCACCUCCCAGAGGUCCCCCCUCCAAAUGCCAUCCCAUUAGAGGUUAGGAUUUGAACAUACAAAUUCCAGGGGGACACAUUCAGUCAUGCAGGUACUGACACCGCAACAGAUGUGGAAUGGGUGAAGAAGCUGUAUGUUUUAGCCUUAAAAAAAAAAACAAAAAAACCUCAGGAGAACAUAUCAGUUGACUUCAAAUAUCUAAAGGUUGUCCUUUCUUAAUAUUUUAAAUAAUACUAACGUGUUUUAGUUUAUAGCACCUCCUGUCCAUUUUGGAUAAGGAUGGGCAGAUAAUACAUUUCCAAACAAACGCGUAUAGUUCGAUUGUUU
rnacentral:lncRNA from 1 species